UUUAAAUAUAAAUAUAUACAAAACAAAUAACAUUAUAAAACAAAAUUUAGAGCACAUACAAUUAAUGAACUGUUUAAAAAAUAAUUAUGUAACUAGUUUUAACAAUGAAUAUAAAAUUUUACCAAGUAAUGAUUAUAUUAUUAUAUCUAAUGAAUUGAUAAAAUUGAAAAACAAUUUGAAUAAAAAAGAAAUUGAAAUUGUUAUUAGAAGUGUACGAAGUCGUCAAAAAUUUUCAUCAGUUAUAUAUGUAUAUAAACUGGAGGCUACUCAAAUGAUUUGUUUUUAUACUAUUUUUAAUGAUAAGGUAAGACAUAUCACAAUGAUGCCACCAUUAUCGAUAAAAGGAAAUAACGAAAGCGGUAGUAGCAGUAGUAGCAGUAGUAGCAGUAGUAGUAGUAGUAGUAGCAGUAGUAGCAGUAGUAGUAGCAGUAGUAGCAGUAGUAGUAGCAGUAGUAGUAGUAAUAGUAGUACCAAUCGCAAUAAUGACAGUGAAAAUAAAUACACAAUUCAAAACGAACUAAGACAAUUACAAAAACAUUUUUUUUAUAAAAAUAAUUUCUACUAUGAUGAUUUAUAUAUCCAUACUUAUUUUAAAAUGAAUAAAAAAAUAAACCAAACACAACAUUUUAUAACUAAUAAAAGAUAUCUUUGUAUUAUGCAAUUGUAUGGUAAAGAAAAUAUAAAAUUAACACAUCAUAAUUAUUUUGAAUCUAUUAAUUGGAAAAUAUCAUUUGCAAAAAAAAAGCAUAAUAGCUUAUAUGUCUUACGCGGGUUGGAGAAUAAAGAUUCGGUUGUUUAUUUUGUGCCUCUAUCGGUUGGUACUGGAUGGGUUCAGGUGGAAUAUAAUAAAAGUAGUAGUAGCCAUGUUAGUGAUAACAGCCGUGUUAGUGAUAACAGCCGUGUUAGUGAUAAUAGCCGUGUUAGUGAUAAUAGCCGUGCUGCACAUCAUGUUAUGCGCCAAAGAGUAGUAAUCACUAACCCUCUUAUGUGUUACAUAAAAAAAGAUAUAAACAUGUCUACACUAUUUCUAUUAUCGGAUAAUGAACAACUUGAAUAUAGAUGUGUUGGAAAAGGUAUAGGAAAACAUGCAGUACGUAUAUAUAACAAAACUAAUUUGUUGGACGUUACCGUGAGUGCAAGUAGUAUACAAAUAAAAAAAAAAAAAAAAAAAAAAAAAAAAAAAAACUCAUCCGAGACAAGUGGCACAAUUGAUAGUAAAAAAAAGCACAAAAACGCAAUAAUUAGCAAAAAACAAAACGAAAUAAAAAAUAAAACGAUUGGUUUACUUUUUUAUGAUGAAAACAACGAAAAUAAUUUUUUUUUUUCUACAAUAUAUUUAUUUGAAAAUAUAAAAGAUUAUUAUGUCAUUAUUGAAAAGGAUGUUAUUGAAGUAGGUGAAAUUACAAAUAUAUAUAUUUUUAUGUUUUCUGAUUUGGCUGAAUUGUUUGACACAACAAAUUUGUUAAUUACUAAUACAAAAAGUAAGGAGCGGAAACACAUUGGUUUGGGUUUUAGAGGGGAGUUAUAUAAACAGGAGCAAAUUGGUGGUGUCGACAAUAGCUGCAUUAGUGGAAGUAGAUGUAGAAACAGUGUUAGUAAUGUUCACUACGACAAUCAGUUAAAUUACAUUCCUUUAAACCGUAACUAUAACUCCAAUAUACCAAUAAGUAGUUGUUUUACUGUGGUACAAAAUAAUGUUGAAAUAAUAUACGAUAAGAAGUUCAUAGAAAUUGAAAAAAGAAAACAUAGUUGGUCUUUUACAAUGGAAUUACCAUCAAAGUUUAAAAGUGCUUGCACAAUUAUCAAAAUAAGAGGAAAAAAAGAAAAAGAGACAAAAGGUAGAAUAGAGUUUAUGAUGAUGAUAAUAGAUAAAAAUAAGAGUAAAUUAAAAAAGCAAUAUAUAAAUAUUUUAUAUAUAUAUAAAAAAGUAAAAGGUCUUAUAUGUCAAGACUUUGUAUGUAGUAAAUUUGUUAAGUUUAAUGAAAUAAAUAAUUUAAUAAUAUAUGAUGGUUUUUUUUUAACUCCGUUUAAAAUAAAUGUUUACCCAGAAGGUGAUAAGAAUAAUAUAUCGAUAAAAGAAAAUAUACUUUUGAAUAGAC
rnacentral:lncRNA from 1 species